UUGGAUAGAGCACGAGGAUUGAAUGCUUCUUCUCUGUAGAUGGUAUGUUACAGUACGGGAAAAAGUCUUGCGCUUAAUGGGAUCUUGGGCAUCUCCCGAACCCUGCAGGCUUGUAUGGCCUUGAAUCCAUCCUCGGCCUGGCUCCACUUUAGCCAUUGUCGUUUAAAUGUAUCUUCUUGAACCGCCGGCAGAGUCGUGCUGAGCCGGCUACAGACGUUGAACUUAAAUCAGCUGAGAUCCAGAGACUCAAUGGGCAGGAGGAUCUGGUAAGGUGGGCGUCUGUGUCAACUGAACUGCUUAGCAAUAAAGCAAAAGUAACAAAUCGUAA